CUUGCACCUGAUGGCGAGUGGCGAACGGGUGAGUAAUGCAUCGGAACGUGCCCAAUCGGUGGGGGAUAACGCAGACGAAAGCUGUGCUAAUACCGCAUACGAUCUACGGAUGAAAGGCGGGGGACCUUCGGGCCUCGCGCGGUUGGAGCGGCCGAUGUUAGAUUAGGUAGUUGGUGGGGUAAAAGGCUCACCCAAGCCCGACAAUCUAUAGCUGGUCUGAGAGGACGACCAGCCACACUGGAACUGAGACAUGGUCCAGACUCC
rnacentral:rRNA from 1 species